ACGGCGCACGGGUGCGUAACACGUGGGCAAUCUGCCCUUCGAUGGGGAAUAACUCCGGGAAACCGAAGCUAAUUCCGCAUAGCAUUCCUUGGACUUCGGUUCGAGGACUCAAAGCCGUAAGGCGUCGAAGGAGGAGCCCGCGCACGAUUAGCUAGUUGGUAGGGUAACGGCCUGCCAAGGCUUUGAUCGUUAGCUGGUCUGAGAGGAUGGCCAGCCACACUGGAACUGAGACACGGUCCAGACUCCUACGGGAGGCAGCAGUGGGGAAUCUUGCACAAUGGGCGAAAGCCUGAUGCAGCGACGCCGCGUGGGGGAUGAAGCAUUUCGGUGUGUAAACCCCUUUCGACCCGGACGAAUACCUCGCAAGAGGGGUGACGGUACGGGUAUAAGAAGCCCCGGCUAACUACGUGCCAGCAGCCGCGGUAAGACGUAGGGGGCCAGCGUUGUUCGGAAUUACUGGGUGUAAAGGGUUCGUAGGCGGUGUGGCAAGUUGGGAGUGAAAUCUCUGGGCUCAACCCAGAGGCUGCUUCCAAAACUGCCGUGCUUGAGUGUGGGAGAGGCGCGUGGAAUUGCAGGUGUAGCGGUGAAAUGCGUAGAUAUCUGCAGGAACACCCGUGGCGAAAGCGGCGCGCUGGACCACAACUGACGCUGAGGAACGAAAGCUAGGGGAGCAAACAGGAUUAGAUACCCUGGUAGUCCUAGCCCUAAACGAUCAGGACUUGGGGUGCCGCACGUUCGUGCGUCGUCCCGGAGCUAACGCGUUAAGUCCUGCACCUGGGGAGUACGGUCGCAAGACUGAAACUCAAAGGAAUUGACGGGGGCCCGCACAAGCGGUGGAGCAUGUGGUUCAAUUCGACGCUACGCGAGGAACCUUACCUGGGCUCGAAGCGCACCUGACUAGCUGUAGAAAUACGGCCUUCUCGCAAGAGACAGGUGUGGAGGCGCUGCAUGGCUGUCGUCAGCUCGUGCCGUGAGGUGUUGGGUUAAGUCCCGCAACGAGCGCAACCCCUGCACGUAGUUGCCACUCCGCAAGGAGGGAACU
rnacentral:rRNA from 1 species